GUCAGGAUGGCCGAGCGGUCCGAGGCGCCGUUCAGGUCGCAGUUUCCACUGGAGGCGUGGGUUCGAAUCCCACUUCUGACA
rnacentral:tRNA from 1 species